rnacentral:rRNA from 1 species
CAGUCGCCACGGUAAUACGAGGGGAGCUAGCGUUAUUCGGAAUUACUGGGCGUAAAGCGCACGUAGGCGGCUUUGUAAGUUAGAGGUGAAAGCCCAGAGCUCAACUCUGGAAUUGCCUUUAAGACUGCAUCGCUUGAAUCCAGGAGAGGUGAGUGGAAUUCCGAGUGUAGAGGUGAAAUUCGUAGAUACUCGGAAGAACACCAGUGGCGAAGGCGGCUCACUGGACUGGUAUUGACGCUGAGGUGCGAAAGCGUGGGGAGCAAACAGGAUUAGAUACCCCCGUAGUCCCUGUCUCUUAUAC